CUAGCCGUAAACGAUGGGUACUAGGUGUGGGAGGUAUCGACCCCUUCCGUGCCGGAGUUAACGCAAUAAGUACCCCGCCUGGGGACUACGAUCGCAAGAUUGAAACUCAAAGGAAUUGACGGGGGCCCGCACAAGCAGCGGAGCAUGUGGUUUAAUUCGAAGCAACGCGAAGAACCUUACCUGGACUUGACAUACCCUGAAUAUCUUAGAGAUAAGAGAAGCCCUUCGGGGCAGGGAUACAGGUGG
rnacentral:rRNA from 1 species